rnacentral:rRNA from 1 species
GACGAACGCUGGCGGCGCGCCUAAUACAUGCAAGUCGAGCGAAGACGCUUUGUGCCUUGGCUUCGGUCGAGAAUCAAAGUGGACUGAGCGGCGGACGGGUGAGUAACGCGUGGGCAACCUGCCCUAUCGCCCGGGAUAACCCUCGGAAACGGGGGCUAAUACCGGAUGCGGUCACGAGCUCGCAUGGGUUUGUGACGAAAGAUUUAUUGCGAUAGGAUGGGCCCGCGUCCCAUUAGCUAGUUGGUAGGGUAACGGCCUACCAAGGCGACGAUGGGUAGCCGGCCUGAGAGGGUGAACGGCCACACUGGGACUGAGACACGGCCCAGACUCCUACGGGAGGCAGCAGUAGGGAAUCUUCGGCAAUGGGCGAAAAGCCUGACCGAGCGACGCCGCGUGAGGGAAGAAGGCCUUCGGGUCGUAAACCUCUGUCCUUGGGGAAGAAGGUGACGGUACCCAAGGAGGAAGCCCCGGCUAACUACGUGCCAGCAGCCGCGGUAAUACGUAGGGGGCGAGCGUUGUCCGGAAUUACUGGGCGUAAAGGGUGCGUAGGCGGCCAUUUAAGUCUUGUGUGAAAGGCCCCGGCUUAACCGGGGAGCUGCAUGGGAAACUGGAUGGCUUGAGUGCUGGAGAGGGUUGCGGAAUUCCCAGUGUAGCGGUGAAAUGCGUAGAUAUUGGGAGGAACACCAGUGGCGAAGGCGGCAACCUGGACAGUAACUGACGCUGAGGCACGACAGCUGGGGGAGCAAACAGGAUUAGAUACCCUGGUAGUCCCAGCCGUAAACGAUGAGUGCUAGGUGUUGCGGGUAUCGACCCCUGCAGUGCCGCAGUUAACGCAAUAAGCACUCCGCCUGGGAGUACGGCCGCAAGGCUGAAACUCAAAGGAAUUGACGGGGGCCCGCACAAGCGGUGGAGCAUGUGGUUUAAUUUCGAAGCAACGC